rnacentral:rRNA from 1 species
UACGUAGGGUGCAAGCGUUAAUCGGAAUUACUGGGCGUAAAGCGUGCGCAGGCGGUUAUGUAAGACAGAUGUGAAAUGCCCGGGCUUAACCUGGGAACUGCAUUUGUGACUGCAUUGCUAGAGUUUGGCAGAGGGGGGUAGAAUUCCACGUGUAGCAGUGAAAUGCGUAGAUAUGUGGAGGAACACCGAUGGCGAAGGCAGCCCCCUGGGUCAAGACUGACGCUCAUGCACGAAAGCGUGGGGAGCAAACAGG